AGAGUUGAUCAGUGGCUCGAGGACGAACGCUGGCGGCGUGCUUAACACAUGCAAGUCGAGCGAUGAAGUUCCUCGGGAAAUGGAUUAGCGGCGGACGGGUGAGUAACACGUGGGUAACCUGCCUCAUAGAGGGGAAUAGCCUUUCGAAAGGAAGAUUAAUACCGCAUAAGAUUGUAAUGUCGCAUGACAUAGCAAUUAAAGGAGUAAUCCGCUAUGAGAUGGACCCGCGUCGCAUUAGCUAGUUGGUGAGGUAACGGCUCACCAAGGCGACGAUGCGUAGCCGACCUGAGAGGGUGAUCGGCCACAUUGGGACUGAGACACGGCCCAGACUCCUACGGGAGGCAGCAGUGGGGAAUAUUGCACAAUGGGGGAAACCCUGAUGCAGCAACGCCGCGUGAGUGAUGAAGGUCUUCGGAUUGUAAAGCUCUGUCUUUAGGGACGAUAAUGACGGUACCUAAGGAGGAAGCCACGGCUAACUACGUGCCAGCAGCUGC
rnacentral:rRNA from 1 species